rnacentral:misc_RNA from 1 species
CACCAAUCCCCUCACUAUUUGCGGUAGUGAGGGGAUUUUUAUUGGUGCGGCUAUAUGUCACCUAUUUUGUAUUGCGUCUACUUAGCCAAUAAGAAAAAAACGCAAUGGCACAGCCACUGAUGACUGGUGCUAUGAUGUGAACGAAAAUAAGCAUCACCUUAUACACCUCCUCUCUGCGUCUAAAUUGACGCCUGAGAGAUAGGCGACUCUACUAUUAUAUCAUCGGCAAAUAUACAAGCACAGUCACUUGCUUCUGAUAAGUUAUAUGAUUCUAGCUGAUAGAUUGAAUCGUCUACACUUAAUUGGACAAAUUCUAUGAGAAUAGAUAUUGUUAAUUUAAGAAA